rnacentral:rRNA from 1 species
CAGGCCUAACACAUGCAAGUCGAACAGUCAGUAGCAAUACUGAUAGUGGCGCACGGGUGCGUAACACGUAACUAACCUACCCACAACUGGGGGAUAGCCCGCCGAAAGGCGGAUUAAUACCGCAUAACCCACUUCUUCGGCAUCGGAGGUUUGGUAAAGAUUUAUUGGUUGUGGAUGGGGUUGCGGGUCAUUAGCUAGUUGGUUGGGUAACGGCUGACCAAGGCGACGAUGACUAGGGGAGCUGAGAGGCUGGUCCCCCACACGGGCACUGAGAUACGGGCCCGACUCCUACGGGAGGCAGCAGUGGGGAAUAUUGGACAAUGGGCGCAAGCCUGAUCCAGCCAUGCCGCGUGAGUGAUGAAGGCCUUAGGGUUGUAAAGCUCUUUUGUCCGGGACGAUAAUGACGGUACCGGAAGAAUAAGCCCCGGCUAACUUCGUGCCAGCAGCCGCGGUAAU